GGAAUUGUGGCUCAGUGAUAGAGUGCUUGCCUAGCAUAUAUGAGGCACUGAGUUCGACUCUCAGCACCA
rnacentral:tRNA from 1 species